CCUACGGGUGGCAGCAGUGAGGAAUAUUGGUCAAUGGGCGCUAGCCUGACCCAGCCAAGUAGCGUGAAGGAUGACUGCCCUCUGGGUUGUAAACUUCUUUAAUAUGGGAAUAAAGUGCAUUUUCUAUACUGCUUUGCAUUUACCUUAUGUGUAAGGAUCGGCUAACUCCGUUCCAGCAGCCGCGGCACUACGGAGGAGCCGAUCGUUAUCCGGAUUUAUUGUGUUUACAGUGCACGUAGGCGGGUUGUUAAGUCAGUUGUGAGAGUUUGCGGCUCAACCGUAAAAUUGCAUUUGAUACUGGCAUCCUGGAGUGCAGUAGAGGAUGGCGGAAUUCGAGGUGUAGCAGUGAAAUGCUUAGAUAUCACGAAGAACUCCGAUUGCGAAGGCAGCCUGCUGGACUGUAACUGACGCUGAGGCGCGAAAGUGUGGGUAGCAAACAGGAUUAGAUACCCGAGUAGUC
rnacentral:rRNA from 1 species